GUAGCCGUAAGGUGAAGCUGAAAGAAGCGGAAGGCAAAGACACGACCGCAGGAACACGAACAGGCAGAGAGGCCGGGCACGGGCGACGAGCUGGCUAGUAACGGCGAAGUCCGAAGAGUCAUCAAGACGUGUCAGGUAGAGCCUGGCGGCACGUGUUUAAAGGGACGUAU
rfam:Lentisphaerae bacterium RIFOXYA12_FTLL_48_11 rifixya3_full_scaffold_943, whole genome shotgun sequence.